GACGAACGCUGGCGGCGUGCUUAACACAUGCAAGUCGAACGAGACGAUUGAAAGCUUGAUUUUAAAAGUCGAGUGGCAAACGGGUGAGUAACGCGUAGACAACCUGCCUUUGAGAUGGGGACAACAGUUCGAAAGGACUGCUAAUACCGAAUGUUGUAUAUUUUCCACCUGGAAGAUAUAUUAAAGAUGGCCUCUAUUUAUAAGCGCUCGCUCAAAGAAGGGUCUGCGGCUGAUUAGCUGUUUGGUGGGGUAACGGCCUACCAAGGCGACGAUCAGUAGCCGGUCUGAGAGGAUGAACGGCCACAUUGGGACUGAGACACGGCCCAGACUCCUACGGGAGGCAGCAGUGGGGAAUCUUCCACAAUGGACGAAAGUCUGAUGGAGCAACGCCGCGUGAGUGAAGAAGGGUUUCGGCUCGUAAAGCUCUGUUGUCGGGGACGAAUGUGCAGUAUUUGAAUAAAGUACUGCAAUGACGGUACCUGACGAGGAAGCCACGGCUAACUACGUGCCAGCCGCCGCGGUAA
rnacentral:rRNA from 1 species